UUUCUUGCAUCACCUUCCCAAAUUGCCCUUUUGCUUGCAACCAGAAUUUUAAAACCCUAAAUUUCGCAACUACUGUACUAUUCUCUAUCUGAAUCGUCUGAACUCCGCGCUCCGGUCCAUCGCAAGAAUGAGUCGCUCUAGCAGAACUCUCUAUGUUGGCAACCUUCCUGGGGACGUUCGUGAGCGCGAGUAUGGACCAAUUGUGCAUAUUGAUCUUAAAAUCCCCCCAAGGCCUCCAGGCUAUGCUUUUGUUGAGUUUGAAGAGUCAAGGGAUGCUGAAGAUGCCAUACGAGGGCGUGAUGGCUAUGAUUUUGAUGGGCAUCGCCUACGGGUUGAGCUAGCACAUGGUGGGCGUGGUAACUCAUCAUCGGCAGAUCGUCAUACUGGAAGUCGUGGUCCCCGAGGAGGAGUUUCUAGGCGCUCAGAAUAUAGAGUUUUAAUCACCGGCUUGCCUCAGUCUGCUUCAUGGCAAGAUCUUAAGGAUCAUAUGCGUCGAGCUGGAGAUGUUUGCUUCUCACAAGUUUUCCACGAGGGGAGUGGAAAGACAGGGAUAGUAGACUACACAAAUUUUGAUGACAUGAAAUAUGCUAUCAAGAAGCUUGAUGGUUCUGAGUUUCGGAAUGCUUUUUCACGGGGAAGAGUGCAUGUGAAAGAAUAUGAUUCCAGUCGCUCUAGAAGCCGCAGUCGUAGUCGCAGUCCGUCCUACUCAAAAGGAAGGAGCAAUGGUCGAAGCAAGAGCAAAAACCCAAGUGUUAGCCGUAGCAGGAGCAGAAGCAAGUCGCCUAAGGGGAAAUCAUCAUGUCAUUCAAGGUCUCGAUCAAAAUCUGUAUCUCGGUCUCGUUCUGGAUCAAAAGUACGGUCUUUGUCAAGCCAGCAGCUGAUGGCAGAAAAAUAUUCGUUUGAACUAUUUGAAUAAACAAAACUUGAUAUAUUUGGUGUCAGCCCUUACUGGAGUAUGCUUUUCUUGCGCCUCCCUUCCCUUUUCGCCCUUGCCAUUCCCCUUUUGCAUCUAGCUUGCAGUUAUGGAAAACCGUGUCAGCUGUCAAAGGAUCACUUUCUUAUAUCCUCUGCAAACUUGGAAUUACCUCUUUCUUGUUUCUAGAUACGGAUAUAUGCGCGAUCUGGGGAUUGCAUAUAGGAUUUUGUUGGGUAAAAUUGUUUCAGUUGGCUACAACUCCUUGGGGUUGGAGGUAUGAUGUUUUCCAGAUGGUAACUUUGGAAUCGUUCUUGAUGUCUCUGUUCUAAUGAGCAUAGCAAAUGUCCAAUCGAUGCUAGAUUGGGAACAUGAAGAUCAUGGAUUACUUGGUGUAGCUGGAUAUUGGACUAAUUGAAUAAGAGAACAACUUUUUGCAGUGGAAAUGUUUAAAAUAUCUCCAAUGGUGCUAAGCUAUCAACUCAUUCCACCCGAGCAUUUAUUGAUUCUUUUGGUAUCUUUGCUAAUCACAUAUUCCAGUCCCAAGGUUAUGUUUCUUCUUUGAUAGGUUACUAGGGUGAAAUGAAUAUUUUUCAUUCUUGUUUUUCUUCUUUUGUGUAUUCUAAAUGUCUUGAGUUUCAUCUUGCCCAAUAUGGUGAUGGUCACUAUGAUGUGGAAGUGGAAACAAGGCUAUUGGAUCAAAGUUUUAAAGAGGGACUAGUGGAUAUUAAAUUGGGUUGUUUCUGGACCUUUUGCAGAUCUCCUUCAAGAUCCAGAUCCCCGAAACCAGCUAAACGUACGAGUGCGAGUCCAAAAAAACACAGUUUAAGCAGAAGCCGCAGCCGUAGCAAGAGCCCAAGCCAGAGCCGAAGCAGGAGCCGUUCCAGGUGAAUGAAUAAUUUGAUGGAGAAUUAAUGCUGCAGUGCUUGGCUAGUAAAUCAUUUGCAGUAAAUGGAGAGAAUCUACAAUGUGUUAUUGACUGAUUGUCGAGUUUCUAAGUUUCUCUCAUGUUAUCUGAAGAAGAAAGUUUUCUAUUUCUGCAAGACCUAUGAAUCCAGUAUUUCUAAAAUUGCCAAAUGUAGCCAUAUCGUCUAUACUAUUAAUGAUGACUUAAAUUAAAAAUUACUGAGCCCUUGGAUCU